rnacentral:rRNA from 1 species
AGCGCAGGCGGGAAGACAAGUUGGAAGUGAAAUCUAUGGGCUCAACCCAUAAACUGCUUUCAAAACUGUUUUUCUUGAGUAGUGCAGAGGUAGGCGGAAUUCCCGGUGUAGCGGUGGAAUGCGUAGAUAUCGGGAGGAACACCAGUGGCGAAGGCAGGUCUCUGGGCCGUCACUGACGCUGAGGAGCGAAAGCGUGGGGAGCGAACA